UCAUACAUACUAAAGGAAUAAAAUUACACCAUAUAUUGUGAAAUGGAGGAAGAACUACAAUGCCCCUUAAUAAAUGAGGGACAGUUGGGAGUGGAAGGAUAGAAAUAAGAUGAUGGGAAGAAAAUUGAGUGAGUGGUAAUUAUAUUUGUGGACAGAGGGAGUACAUAUGAUAGAUGAUAAUAUUGGUCAAAAACCUCAUGCAUAGAAGAAUUUUACUCAAAUAUCACCACUCCAAACAUGAUUUUCGCAAGAAGGCCUUGUACCUGCUUGCAAAAAUCAAUUUUUGCAGACGACCAAGUUAUGUCAUUCGUCUGCACAAAGAAAUUUCACAAAAAAUCCCCCAAACAAUUCCAAAACCCGAGCCUAUAUGUCUAUGACAAAAUCAUUGGUGGUGGUGCUCGUCGACGGCAGAUGCGGCCCUUGUUCUCCACCACUGCGCUCCUCCAUGGCCAUAUGUGCCUUCUUCACCCCUCCCAUGGGCAUUGACGACCUCCUCGAUAUUUGAUCUGGGGUAGGGAGAGCGGAGUUGGGCUAACCAAACGACGGCGAGGCAGAGGAGACAAAGCCAUGGAAGAAGAAUAUGAAGAGGCGGAGGAGGUAGAGGUGUAGAGCUGGGCUUGCCAAUAAUGAGGAGGCUGAGUCAUCGACACGUGCAACAAAGAGGUGGAGACCUAGGCCAUCCAGGGUGGCCGGUGGCUCAAGAUCCACCAGUGGCCACACCGGGCAUUAGUCGGUCCCAUCGUCA
rnacentral:lncRNA from 1 species